rnacentral:rRNA from 1 species
CCUACGGGAUGCAGCAGUAGGGAAUCUUCCGCAAUGGACGAAAGUCUGACGGAGCAACGCCGCGUGAGUGAUGAAGGUUUUCGGAUCGUAAAACUCUGUUGUUAGGGAAGCGGUACCUAACCAGAAAGCCACGGCUAACUACGUGCCAGCAGCCGCGGUAAUACGUAGGUGGCAAGCGUUGUCCGGAAUUAUUGGGCGUAAAGCGCGCGCAGGCGGUCCUUUAAGUCUGAUGUGAAAGCCCACGGCUCAACCGUGGAGGGUCAUUGGAAACUGGGGGACUUGAGUACAGAAGAGAAGAGUGGAAUUCCACGUGUAGCGGUGAAAUGCGUAGAGAUGUGGAGGAACACCAGUGGCGAAGGCGACUCUUUGGUCUGUACUGACGCUGAGGCGCGAAAGCGUGGGGAGCAAACAGGAUUAGAUACCCCAGUAGUC